UGCAUCUUUGUUAGAUUUCGUACUAAACGGUGUAGCUACUGCAUUCACUAGCCGGGUAUAACUUCCAAUGCGAAGCAGCAAAAACACACCUGUCAUUUUUAACCCUAAGAAAUGAUUAACUGUUUCGUGUUUGUUUGAUUAGUGAUCGAACUAAACUCUGCAGGGAUGUAAAUCUCCAGGAGCACGACUGAGCACUCCUGAUCUCGAGAUUGAUGUAAGGAGACUAAACUGACCACUACUGUUCGGCCUUUAUGAAAAGAGGGCCAUACUCUCACGGAAACAAAUUGCAGCCAAAGCAACACAUGCACACACACAAGAACAGAUCUCAGGGCUGUACCUACUGACCUACUCUCAGCUCUUGCCCAAAGACGGUCCUCUCGCCAAGGGCAGAGCAGUUCCAUCGUCCAUAGCGAAACUGAUAGUGGCACUCGUUGAUGCCCAGCUGAGCGCCUUCCCCAAUGAUGAUGAUGGCAUCUGGGCGGCUCUGGCAGAUGGCGCGCUGUCUGGGGGCCAGGCCAGGGAUUUUGUUGCAGAUGAUGUUCGCACCCAAAGCCACGACUGAAGAAAAAGCCCU